rnacentral:rRNA from 1 species
CGUGACUCCCCAGGGCAGUGGCGGACGGGUGAGUAAUGUCUGGGAAACUGCCUGAUGGAGGGGGAUAACUACUGGAAACGGUAGCUAAUACCGCAUACCAUCGGAUGUGCCCAGAUGGGAUUAGCUAGUAGGUGGGGUAACGGCUCACCUAGGCGACGAUCCCUAGCUGGUCUGAGAGGAUGACCAGCCACACUGGAACUGAGACACGGUCCAGACUCCUACGGGAGGCAGCAGUGGGGAAUAUGGCACAAUGGGCGCAAGCCUGAUGCAGCCAUGCCGCGUGUAUGAAGAAGGCCUUCGGGUUGUAAAGUACUUUCAGCGGGGAGGCGUUACCCGCAGAAGAAGCACCGGCUAACUCCGUGCCAGCCGCCGCGGUAAUAC